UCAUACUGUACCACUAAGACGCUACUGCCCUCGUGCACUGCCAAGUGUCGCGUGUCCCCGCCAGCCCCUCGGGGGCUGAGGUCUCGCCUCUCCACUCUACACCCCGCGCCCGGCAGAGAGGCCCUGCCUCCUACGGCCCCGGCAGACAGGUGUGGGGGCUCGAACGUCCUGGUCGAAGAAGCACAGGGUGGUGGGCCCAAUCCCACUUCUGACCGGAGCGGAGUUCUCUUACUGCCCUGGCCUGGGGGUUAAGUUUUCUCCUCCGCACCCGGGCCGCCUAAGCCCAGGUUGGGCCGCUCCUCACCGGCCCCAGCCCACGAGGCCAGGUCACGCGGCGCAGGAACCGCGCUCCCUCUCGGCUCGGCUGCAGCUCGCCGUCCGUCCCCAGACACCAUUAACUGAAUCCCUCCGCCCUCGCUGCACUGGAGAAAGGGUGACGAACGGAAAAAAGAAACCACAACCGACUCCGAAGCCGCAGACCAGCGCGGAAGCGACCCCACCUUCGCGCCCAGGCCAGGCUAUAACUUGAAAUUUUCAUCAGCAGGAUGCAAGUCCCCGUUCAUUGCUGACCCUUCAGAAGCAGGAAACAAGACUCAGUCAUGGGUAGAGACAUCCUUCUGUGGAAGUCUCAGCAUUACCAUCCACAGAGAUUUUUCACAUUCGAAAUGGAGAGAUACGUACAAGUAAAAGUUCAGAGUAAAGGCUACAUUCUGCAGCCCUUCGUCACUACUUCACUCCACGCCAGUCCUAAAGGCACAGAAAUAAUUUAACUUCAGAAUACCUAUGCAGCUGACAGUAUUCCUGGCUUCUAAAAUCCCUCAAGAGGAAUUGAUUUAGUGGGCAAGUACUGCAGCUGUUAGAAGAAUCCUAUAGAUAGAUCACUUAAAAAAAGUCUGCCCCCACAAAACCACCAAGAGUCCAAGCUGCAGUUUGCAGAAAGAGUUUUUGAACAUUAAACU